GAAGUUGCUCAGGUGAUCGCGCUUCGCUGUAUGGCGGGGUGAGGAAAGUCCGAGCUCCACAGGGCAGGGUGGUCGCUAACGGCGACUGGGGGUGACCCUAAGGAAAGUGCCACAGAAAAUAAACCGCCUGCCAAGUCCAAUCGCUUAAACGAGAGGUCGGGGUCGGUAAGGGUGAAACGGCGAGGUAAGAGCUCACCGCUUCGGUGGUGACAUCGGAGGCACGGUAAACCCCACCUGGAGCAAGACCAAAUAGGAACACGUGUUUGCAGGGCGAUUCAUGAACGGUUCUCGCGAAGCAAGGGUUCUCGCGGAGCCAUUGUCCUGGCAUGACGAAGGGCGGCCCGUCCAAGGUGUUCGGGUUAGGUCGCUAGAACCGGGUGGCAACAUCCGGUCCAGAGAAAUGAUCAUCACUCCGGUUUCGCUGGAGAACAGAACUCGGCUUAUGGGCAACUUUGGCU
rnacentral:RNase_P_RNA from 1 species